rnacentral:rRNA from 1 species
UGAGGAAUAUUGGUCAAUGGACGCAAGUCUGAACCAGCCAAGUCGCGUGCAGGAAUAAGGCCCUAUGGGUCGCAGACUGCUUUUGCAUGAGAAUAAAAAGUGGGACGAGUCCCACCCUGUAGGUAUCAUGCGAAUAAGGAUCGGCUAACUCCGUGCCAGCAGCCGCGGUAAUACGGAGGAUGCGAGCGUUAUCCGGAUUUAUUGGGUUUAAAGGGUGCGCAGGCGGCGCGCCAAGUCAGCGGUCAAAGUUCCGGGCUCAACCCGGUGUCGCCGUUGAAACUGGCGUGCUCGAGUGCGUGCGAGGAAGGCGGAAUGCGUUGUGUAGCGGUGAAAUGCAUAGAUAUGACGCAGAACUCCGAUUGCGAAGGCAGCUUUCCAGCGCGCUACUGACGCUGAGGCA